UUUGCCUGCAUUUAAGUACGCCAUGUGAUA
rnacentral:piRNA from 1 species